GACGAACGCUGGCGGCGUGCUUAACACAUGCAAGUCGAACGGAAAGGCCCUGCUUUUGUGGGGUGCUCGAGUGGCGAACGGGUGAGUAACACGUGAGUAACCUGCCCCUGACUUUGGGAUAACUUCAUGAAACUGGGGCUAAUACCGGAUAGGAGCUCCUGCUGCUUGGUGGGGGUUGGAAAGUUUCGGCGGUUGGGGAUGGACUCGCGGCUUAUCAGCUUGUUGGUGGGGUAGUGGCUUACCAAGGCUUUGACGGGUAGCCGGCCUGAGAGGGUGAGCGGACACAUUGGGACUGAGAUGCGGCCCAGACUCCUACGGGAGGCAGCAGUGGGGAAGAGUGCACAGUGGGCGGGAGCAUGAUGCAGCAACGCCGCGUGCGGGAUGACAGCCUUCGGGUUGUAAAGCGCAUUCGCCUGUGACGAAGCGUGAGUGACGGUACUGGGUAAAGAAGCACCGGCUAACUACGUG
rnacentral:rRNA from 1 species